rnacentral:lncRNA from 1 species
UGCUAUUACCAUACCAGUGGGGGACACACAGAGCACACCUCCGUCUGCUUAUUUUCUCCUGGACAGGUACCUCUGCAAGGAUUCUGAUCAACUCGGAAGCCUUCCUGAGUUCCAUGUGUUAGGGGGAGAAAAGUGCAUUGGUUUUGCCUGCUACAAGGAAGCACUUUAUAUCAUACUCAUGGAGCCAGGAGAACUAUCACUAGGAUGGAUAAGGAUAUACACAUAGCAUUUGUAACCUUAAUAUAAUCUCU